CCUACGGGAGGCUGCAGUGGGGAAUAUUGGACAAUGGGGGGAACCCUGAUCCGGCCAUGCCGCGUGUGUGAAGAAGGCCCUCGGGUUGUAAAGCACUUUCAGUGAGGAAGAACGCCUGGUGGUUAAUACCCAUCAGGAAAGACAUCACUCACAGAAGAAGCACCGGCUAACUCCGUGCCAGCAGCCGCGGUAAUACGGAGGGUGCGAGCGUUAAUCGGAAUUACUGGGCGUAAAGCGCGCGUAGGUGGCUUGAUAAGCCGGUUGUGAAAGCCCCGGGCUCAACCUGGGAACGGCAUCCGGAACUGUCAAGCUAGAGUGCAGGAGAGGAAGGUAGAAUUCCCGGUGUAGCGGUGAAAUGCGUAGAGAUCGGGAGGAAUACCAGUGGCGAAGGCGGCCUUCUGGACUGACACUGACACUGAGGUGCGAAAGCGUGGGUAGCAAACAGGAUUAGAUACCCCAGUAGUC
rnacentral:rRNA from 1 species